UUUUUUUUUUUUGUCUUUUUAGGGCCACACCUAUGGCAUAUGGAGGUUCCCAGGCUAGGGGUCUAAUGGUAGCUACAGCCACCGGCCUACACCACAGCCACAGCAAUGCUGGAUCCAAGCCACGUCUGCCACCUACACCACAGCUCAUGGCAAUGCUGGAUCCUUAACCCACUGAGCGAGGCCAGGGAUCGAAUCUGCAACCUCAUCGUUUCUAGUCGGAUUUGUUAACCACUGACGGGAAUUCCAUCAAGGUAUAAUUUAUAUAAAAUAAACUGCAUCAUUUUAAGUGAACAGUUGCUCAGUUUUGACAAAUGUAUAUACACCUUGUAUCAGUCAUAACAACUAAAGUAUUAAACAUUCCAUCACCAUAAAAAGUCCCCUCGUGUGCCUUCCAUGUGGCUUUUAGAUGUCCUUUGGAUGUUCUUUAUUUUAUUUUUUUCUUUUUACAGCCAUACAUGCAGCAUAUGGAAGUUCCUGGUUUAGAGGUCAGUUUGGAUCUGCAGCUGCAGGCCUAUGCCAUAGCCACAGCCAUACUGGAUCCAAGCCUCAUCUGUGACCUGUGCUGCAGCUUGCGGCAACAUUGGAUCCUUAACUCAAUGAGUGAGACCAGGUAGUGAACCAACAUCUUCACUAUGUCAAGUUCUUAACCCACUGAGCCAUAAUGGGAACGUCCCUUUGGACAUUCUUGAAGGUGAAAAACCUGUUUAUAGUCACCUGAGCCUAGAACCUCACUCCAUUUACAUAUAAAUACAAAAUAUUUUUUGCAUGUUUUUAAUUUACACUUAAUUAUCUAGAAAUGCAAACAUCAUAUAAAUUUAGGGAAGACAACGCUCUGGAGUAUUUAGAAUGUUACCAGAGGUUUAUCAUUUAGAAAGUCAGGUCAAAUAUUGCAUCAGCAACACCAUUUGUCUCAUUUGAGUUCUCAAGAGAACACUCCUUGAUUAGUCUGCAUUUGUAGCUGUCACAUUUACAGUGAUUAUAAAGAUGACAUAUUUCCUCAUGUCUUUUACAGUGUUCAUGUCUGAACAUUUGCAUAUUGAAAUAGAUAUUAUUUUGUUAUACAUACUUUCAUUUAUUUCUCAUUUAUGUUACAUGUUCAGUUUUAUAUUGGUUCUUGUGAAAUUGGGAAUGCAGAUAGGUUGUAUUAUCUGUAAGGUUAAAUUCAGGAUAGUAAAAGAAGAGUACAAAAUAUUUGCUAUAAAAAGAGAGCAUUGGGGAGUUCCCUCAUGGCUCAGUGAGUUAAGGAUCCAGUGUUGUCACUGCUGUGGCUCCAGUGCGAUCCCUGGUCUGGGAAUUUCUGCAUGCCCUGGGCAUGGCAAAAAAGAAAGAAAGAGAGAGAGAGAAAGAAAGAAAGGAAAGAAAGAAAGGAAAGAAAGAAAGAGAAAGGAAGGAAGGAAGGAAG
rnacentral:lncRNA from 1 species